rnacentral:misc_RNA from 1 species
UUAAAAAAAAAAAAAAAAAUUCUUGGAAGACCUCAAACUUUGUCUAGAUCCAUUUAAGGUCACAUUCCAAUCGUCAUAAUGGUUGAAAAACUAACUAUUACGCCAAAAAGAAAACCAAAAAUUAAAAAAGCAUAUAUACAAAAUCAUCUAAUUCUCAUAAGUUUUCUCUCUCCAUUUUCUUUAUUUUUUUUUUAUGUACACACAUCACCCACCUC